rnacentral:rRNA from 1 species
AUUGAACGCUGGCGGCAGGCCUAACACAUGCAAGUCGAGCGGAUGAAGGGAGCUUGCUCCUGGAUUCAGCUGCGGACGGGUGAGUAAUGCCUAGGAAUCUGCCUGGUAGUGGGGGAUAACGUCCGGAAACGGGCGCUAAUACCGCAUACGUCCUGAGGGAGAAAGGGGGGGAUCUUCGGACCUCACGCUAUCAGAUGAGCCUAGGUCGGAUUAGCUAGUUGGUGGGGUAAAGGCCUACCAAGGCGACGAUCCGUAACUGGUCUGAGAGGAUGAUCAGUCACACUGGAACUGAGACACGGUCCAGACUCCUACGGGAGGCAGCAGUGGGGAAUAUUGGACAAUGGGCGAAAGCCUGAUCCAGCCAUGCCGCGUGUGUGAAGAAGGUCUUCGGAUUGUAAAGCACUUUAAGUUGGGAGGAAGGGCAGUAAGUUAAUCCCUUGCUGUUUUGACGUUACCAACAGAAUAAGCACCGGCUAACUUCGUG